GGUCGGGGUUUCCAACAUAGCAGAGCAGCUCUCUGCUGCGAUCUAUUGAAAGCCCUGGACACAAGGGUUUGU
rnacentral:rRNA from 1 species